ACGAAGUACUAGGAAACAGGUUUUCUAAAUUACAAUGCGAACAUUCCUGUUUUUACAUUGAAAAUAUCUGGGACUAGGUGUCAUUCUAAAAUCUAAACUAUCUCCCAUGUAACGAAACUAUGUAAGGUUUGCACGCUUAUAACUUCGCUAUUACUAGAUGGAUUUCUAUCAUUCAUACUCCAACCGAUUCAGAAACACCUAACUUAAAUAUCGGUAGUAAUUUAAUAUAUCUGCAAUAAAAGUAGUCUUUUGAAAAUCGGUUAAAUUGAAAAGGUCACGAAAAAAGGGAAAAUUGCCAUUCGUGAGGCAAAUUUCUCAGUUGGAAACACCUUAGUGGCACAAUCAAACACGAAAAGUCAUAAAUAGAAGCGACGCGUACCCGUUUGAAUCAGUUGUUGCUCUUAUCCCAUACGAGCAACAUCGUCUCCGGGCGAUGCAAUAAUUAAUCCAUAUUAACCCAAUCAAAUUCCGAAUGGUUUGACCGGGAUGGUACUGCAAUGGGCGUGAUUUUCUAUUCAUCUCUGUUUCCGCUUUAGCCGCUUGGGUCAUUCGUUGGUACCUGUCAUGGUGUGGCCCGACGCCUGUCGGGCUUGGACCAUCUUAUCAGUUUACCAUGUGUAAAAUGGAAAGACAAAGUCGCAAAUAUCGAGUUGCUCGGCGAAACCUAUGUGAAAAAGUAAAGGAAUUGUUGGAGGCAUCCUCAUUUUUGAAUUGGGCUAUGGAAAGGCAGAUACUACCACGUUUAGGAAGCAAACGAUCUCAAUGCACUGAAAUAUCUGGAAUGGAUGAAGGAUUCCAUCUAAUUACCAUCCAAUUGGGAAAGUAAUCAAG